rnacentral:rRNA from 1 species
CACAAGCGGUGGAUGAUGUGGAUUAAUUCGAUGCAACGCGAAAACCUUACCUACCCUUGACAUGUCCGGAAUCCCGAAGAGAUUUGGGAGUGCUCGCAAGAGAACCGGAACACAGGUGCUGCAUGGCUGUCGUCAGCUCGUGUCGUGAGAUGUUGGGUUAAGUCCCGCAACGAGCGCAACCCUUGUCAUUAGUUGCUGCGAAAGGGCACUCUAAUGAGACUGCCGGUGACAAACCGGAGGAAGGUGGGGAUGACGUCAAGUCCUCAUGGCCCUUAUAGGUGGGGCUACACACGUCAUACAAUGGCUGGUACAAAGGGUUGCCAACCCGCGAAGGGGAGCCAAUCCCAUAAAGCCAGUCGUAGUCCGGAUCGCAGUCUGCAACUCGACUGCGUGAAGUCGGAAUCGCUAGUAGUCGUGGAUCAGCAUGUCACGGUGAAUACGUUCCCGGGUCUU